GAGUAACACGUGGAAACCUACCUCUUAGCAGGGGAUAACAAUUUGGAAACAAAUGCUAAUACCGUAUAAUAAUUAAAACCGCAUGGUUUAGUUUAAAAGAUGGUCUUGCUAUCACUAAGAGAUGGUCCCGCGGUGUAUUAGUUAGUUGGUGAGGUAAUGGCUCACCAAGACAAUGAUACAUAGCCGAGUUGAGAGACUGACCGGCCACAAUGGGACUGAGACACGGCCCAUACUCCUACGGAGGCAGCAGUAGGGAAUCUUCCACAAUGGACGAAAGUCUGAUGGAGCAACGCCGCGUGUGUGAUGAAGGGUUUCGGCUCGUAAAACACUGUUGUAAGAGAAGAAUGACAUUGAGAGUAACUGUUCAAUGUGUGACGGUAUCUUACCAGAAAGGAACGGCUAAAUACGUG
rnacentral:rRNA from 1 species